rnacentral:rRNA from 1 species
GACGGAGGGUGCAAGCGUUAUUCGGAAUUAUUGGGCGUAAAGGGUGUGCAGGCGGUAGGUCAAGUCAGAUGUGAAAGCCCAGGGCUUAACCCUGGAAGUGCAUUUGAAACUGGCCCACUUGAGUUCGGGAGAGGAAAGCGGAAUUCCGGGUGUAGAGGUGAAAUUCGUAGAUAUCCGGAGGAACACCGGUGGCGAAGGCGGCUUUCUGGACCGAAACUGACGCUGAGACACGAAAGCGUGGGGAGCAAACAGG